rnacentral:rRNA from 1 species
ACGAACGUUGGCGGCGUGGAUUAGGCAUGCAAGUCGAACGAAUCCCUGUUGGGUAACUGACAGGGGGAAGUGGCGAAAGGGGCAGUAAAGCGUGGGUAACCUGCCCGGGGGACGGGGAUAGCCCUCCUAACGGAGGGGUAAUACCCGGCGAUCUGGUGGGGAGGCAUCUUCCGGCCAGCAAACGAAGCUCGCCCCCGGAGGGGCUCACGUGGUAUUAGCUAGACGGCGGGGUAACGGCCCACCGUGGCCAAGAUGCGUAGCAGGUGUGAGAGCACGACCUGCGCCACUGGCACUGGGACACUGGCCAGACUCCUACGGGAGGCUGCAGUCGAGGAUCUUCGGCAAUGGGCGCAAGCCUGACCGAGCGACGCCGCGUGUGCGACGAAGGCCUUCGGGUUGUAAAGCACUGUCGAGGGGAAGAAAAGCCGCAAGGCCUGAUCGACCCCUGGAGGAAGCACGGGCUAAGUUCGU